UACGUAGGAAGCAAGCGUUAUCCGGAUUUACUGGGCGUAAAGCGGGUGUAGGCGGCCUGUCAAGUCUGGUGUGAAAUCUCCCGGCUUAACUGGGAGGGUGCAUUGGAUACUGAUGGGCUGGAGUGCAGCAGAGGAAAGUGGAAUUCCCGGUGUAGUGGUGAAAUGCGUAGAUAUCGGGAAGAACACUAGUGGCGAAGGCGGCUUUCUGGGCUGUAACUGACGCUGAGACCCGAAGGCGUGGGUAGCAAACAGG
rnacentral:rRNA from 1 species